rnacentral:rRNA from 1 species
GAUGAACGCUGGCGGCGUGCUUAACACAUGCAAGUCGAACGGAAAGGCCCAAGCUUGCUUGGGUACUCGAGUGGCGAACGGGUGAGUAACACGUGGGUGAUCUGCCCUGCACUUCGGGAUAAGCCUGGGAAACUGGGUCUAAUACCGGAUAGGACCACUUCUUGGAUGUUGUGGUGGAAAGUUUUUUCGGUGUGGGAUGAGCUCGCGGCCUAUCAGCUUGUUGGUGGGGUAAUGGCCUACCAAGGCGUCGAUGGGUAGCCGGCCUGAGAGGGUGUACGGCCACAUUGGGACUGAGAUACGGCCCAGACUCCUACGGGAGGCAGCAGUGGGGAAUAUUGCACAAUGGGCGCAAGCCUGAUGCAGCGACGCCGCGUGGGGGAUGACGGCCUUCGGGUUGUAAACUCCUUUCGCUAGGGACGAAGCGUUUUGUGACGGUACCUGGAGAAGAAGCACCGGCUAACUACGUG